UGGGGAAUAUUGGACAAUGGGCGAAAGCCUGAUCCAGCAAUGCCGCGUGUGUGAAGAAGGCCUGAGGGUUGUAAAGCACUUUCAGUGGGGAGAAAGAGACCAUUGUUAAUAGCGAUGGUGGAUGAUGUUACCCAAAGAAGAAGCACCGGCUAACUCUGUGCCAGCAGCCGCGGUAAUACAGAGGGUGCGAGCGUUAAUCGGAAUUACUGGGCGUAAAGGGUGCGUAGGUGGUUUUGUAAGUCAGAUGUGAAAUUCCCGGGCUUAACCUGGGGACUGCGUCUGAUACUGCGAAGCUAGAGUCCUGUAGAGGAAAGUGGAAUUUCCGGUGUAGCAGUGAAAUGCGUAGAUAUCGGAAGGAACAUCAGUGGCGAAGGCGACUUUCUGGACAGAGACUGACACUGAGGCACGAAAGCGUGGGGAGCAAA
rnacentral:rRNA from 1 species